rnacentral:rRNA from 1 species
UACGGAGGGUGCGAGCGUUUGUCCGGAAUCACUGGGCGUAAAGGGCGCGUAGGUGCGCGGGAAGUCAACGGUGAAAGUUCGGGGCUCCAACCCUGAAUCGGGACCGUCGAUACUCCCGGGCUCCGAGCACUGUAGAGGCAGGAUGGAAUUCCGGGGUGUAGCGGUGGAAUGCGUAGAGAUCCGGAAGAACACCGGUGGCGAAGGCGGGUCCUGCUGGGCAGUUGCUGACACUGAGGCGCGACAGCGGUGGGGAGCAA